GCUCUGCAGGGGCCUAGGACUGUGGGGUACUUAGGAGACUGUUCCAACCCUGUCCCCUUUAGGAGUCCCAAGUGGUCUCAAAUGGAAAGGUCCUUGGGGGCCAGCAGGGGGUGCAAGUGCCCAGGCUGCCUUGGAAAGGGAGGACUGGAUGAACCAAUGAGAGGCCCUGGCAAAUCUUGGUGGAAGAUAGGGAGAUAGAAGCCAAAGAGGCCCCUAGGCCCUGCAAAUGCCCAGUGACCUUCCUCGGUGACCUUGCUCUUGGGUGUUUGCUGUUCCUGGGCCCCACAUCAAAGUCCAGUGCCCACUAGGACACAAUCCCUCUCCUGAGAUGGCACAUUCUAGUGAUGGCCAGCGCCGCCUUCACACAGAUGGUGAGUGGCCUUUGGGAUGAAGAUAGCCUUUGGAGUCUAAGCUUAAUUACUGCCCUGAAAAAUCCCAGAAGUCUCUGCUUUCUCCUUUUCUCCAUGGUGCCAGAUGCAGGGGUUGUCUAGUGGAGCCCCAAGCCGGAGUCUACAAACUGCACUAGAGGCUGAGUGGCUCUUUCUGGGAGUGGCUGGGGGUCCUGCAGGCUUUC